AAACCAUUGCCUUAAAAUUUUUUAUUAAAUGUAAUGUCAAAUUCAGGAAUGAAUGUUCUCUCGUAAAACCCAUCAAGAAAAAUUCUCCCCAAUGCUUUGACGACCCUAGAUCUCUAACAAGUAAGAGUAUGAAAAUGGUGAUUAGUGAUAUGUGUAAUGCUUUGACACGUGGAUGGAAGAGCCGAAAACCCAUGAAAGAUUCUUCCCAGCUACUUUAGACUCCCUAUAUCCCUAACAUCAAAGUUAAUUAAUAACACUUGUAGUAAUAUCAAGUAAUUAUGAAAAUGAACUUCACACUGACACAGGAUAACAUAAAAUGCACAGGCUCGGAUAUUUCUAUUGUAUAAUGGAAACUCAAAUUUCCCACUUUUUAAGUUCCAAAAAUUCGCAGAAAUUUGUAACUGAAAAUUACGACCACCAUAUACUAACACCCAACCUAAAGUCCAAGCAACAGAUUCACUGUACCCAUAGACAUGCACAACCCCAACAACUAAGAAGACCCAUGUACUACAGUUGACUACUAUCCUACGAACCACAGCCUGCCACAAAAUAUUUCUGAAAAUGACAGCAUAGUACAGUAAAAUGGACACAAAACCACAAAAUGAUGAACACCCCCAAGGCAGUCAAGUCCUCUAUUCAAAUGUGUCAUCAUCAUCAUCUGGGAGAGGCUGACUAGCUGCUGCUGCAAGCUCAGCUUCGUGCCUGCAGAAAAUGCAAGACCACAAUCAGCCAAUGCAACAAAACAAGCAAACCAUUUUUUUUUUCUAAAAGAAACGGAGAUUAGAAAUUUUGGUCUUCAAACUUAUAAUCAAGAAAAUAAAUAUGAAAACUUUCAAACAGUUGGAAAUGCUCAGAGAACCAUAACAAAACUAGUACCAUAGUGAAGAAUUUCUAAGUAAUGACAUUAUAAGCACAAAGACAAAUUUCUUACUGUUGCUGUGCAGCCAAAUCAAUUUGUACUUCAGGAGGUGCAAGAGCAGGAGUUGCAACAAAGUGAAGAUUAGGGUCCCUGCAAUCACCAAUGAAGUAAUCAAUCCAUAAAUAUCAUCCAAAGCACUUCAAUGCAAACAUUAAGAAGUGUUGAUUUUCAUGAUCUUCUCACCCAGCAAGUUUGCGUGCCAGGUACAAGAAAGGUUUCUCGAAAUUGUAGUUGCUCUUGGCAGAUAUUUCAUAGUACUGGAGGUUCUUCUUCCUGUGAAAAGUAACCUGCUUUGCCUUGACUUGCCUGUUCUUGACAUCAACCUUGUUCCCACAAAGAACAAUGGGUAUAUUCUCACACACUCUGAGAUGAAAGAAAUUACAGGAAUUUCACAAUUAGAGAUAACAUAAAGGGUAAAGGCAAAAUUCAUCAGAAGCAUUGCAACAAGAGAACUAUUUUUGCUUCCCCCCUCCUCCAUGUUAAUGGUCUCAAAUUAUUAGAAUCAGAGUUAUAAUUAUUAGAAUCAGAGUUAUCUUUACCCAUGAACAAAAAAGUGCUACAGUUAUUAAAGAUGAUUUUUUUUUUAAUUGCAUUUCACUAAGAACCCAUUAUAAAGGGAAAUUUCCAAAGCUUGGAUCCAGCUUUCCGCAGCAUGGAAAUAGGCAUUUGCCUUCACUCUUAACAUACCGGCAGAGAUCACGAUGCCAUGUAGGAACAUUCUUGUAUGUCAAACGGGCUGUAACAUCGAACAUAAUGAUGGCACAUUGCCCAUGGAUACUGCACAUUGCAAUGAAAAACGAGUUACAAAACCACCAACAAAAACAGCAAUAAAAUAAGAUAAACUGACAAAUGACAAACCAAACAGAUACGCGUGAACACUCUACCAGUCUCAAGCACAUGAAAUAGGGAAGGAGAGGGGGAUAAACUAAAACAAUUAGGAAUAUUGGAAUACUAGGGAAUUGAUUAAGCAAAUAGUUCUAGCAUGUAUUAUUCUAAUAAAAGACUUUAACUACCUUCAUUUUUUAAAGCAAAUUAAUUCAUACCCAACCAAUCAAAUUACAAUAGUUACCAAAUGUUAAGAGUUAGUACAAAAAUAAAAUUGAUGGCAAUGCAUCAGUAGCUUUUGCUCUUCUCAACCUUUAUUUGUGACUAAUGCCCACCAAUGCAAUGAUAACUUUAAAAAAAAUUUCCCCAUGGCUAGCCUAGAGCAGCAAUAACGUGUUUAUUGCAAUAUCAAGUUAAUUACUGUUUCUCAAUCAUCAUUUCAGAAGAAAAUAUUAUAACCACAUGAACAAGACUUGCGAAGAAUAACCACGUUUCAUUGCACUGUCAAAAAUUAUUGCAAUGACAGAUUACAUUUGUAACAAAUAAGCAUAUGUGUGCAUAUCUAGGUAACUUGAUUUUCAUCUUUGUUUUUCUUCCCCGUACUCCUAGAAAGAUGAUUGAUUCAAAUUAAAAGUACACUCUCAAAACUCGCAUAUCCCUAAUAUGUAAACUAAAUAAAAAUAGAAAUCUAAAUUAAACAAAGCACAUGCAUAAGAAAACAAAUGUUUAGGUUCAUAGCAACUUCAAAACUAGUUUAUACAAUACAACCUCAUUCAAGGAUGUUAUUUAGCAUUUGUUCAUAAUUACUAUGUUGCUAAACUUAUCCCUGGAAGAAUAUGACCAUACGGACAGACAGGGGACAACCAGAAAUACAACCAACUCACUUCAUGUGAAAAUCCUGCGUAAAAGAGGCAAUCAUUAUUCACUUACUAGUAACCAUCUCUGAGACCACCAAAUUUCUCCUGCCCAGCUGUAUCCCAGCAGUAGAAGCGAAUCUGUCCACAGUUUGUAUAGAAAUCCAGUGGAUGAACUUCCACACCAAUAGUUGGUUCGUAUUUCUUCUCAAACUCCCCUGUCAGAUGCCUCUUCACAAACGUAGUCUUUCCAGUGCCUCCAUCGCCAACAAUCACGAGCUUGAAGCUCGGAUAAUCGACAGUUUGUUGAUUUGGCAAAG
rnacentral:misc_RNA from 1 species